rnacentral:rRNA from 1 species
CCUGGCUCAGAUUGAACGCUGGCGGCAGGCCUAACACAUGCAAGUCGAGCGGUAACAGAAAGUAGCUUGCUACUUUGCUGACGAGCGGCGGACGGGUGAGUAAUGCUUGGGAACAUGCCUUGAGGUGGGGGACAACAGUUGGAAACGACUGCUAAUACCGCAUAAUGUCUACGGACCAAAGGGGGCUUCGGCUCUCGCCUUUAGAUUGGCCCAAGUGGGAUUAGCUAGUUGGUGAGGUAAUGGCUCACCAAGGCAACGAUCCCUAGCUGGUUUGAGAGGAUGAUCAGCCACACUGGGACUGAGACACGGCCCAGACUCCUACGGGAGGCAGCAGUGGGGAAUAUUGCACAAUGGGCGCAAGCCUGAUGCAGCCAUGCCGCGUGUGUGAAGAAGGCCUUCGGGUUGUAAAGCUUUUUCAAUCAGGAGGAAAGGUUAGUAGUUAAUACCUGCUAGCUGUGACGU